rnacentral:lncRNA from 1 species
GCACAUCAUUUAUUAUGAUACAGGUAUCUCAACACUCAGUCUCAUCUCCUAGCUGAUAAAUCAGGUACUGGAAUGCCUCUCCUUUCUCAGAAUGAUAAAAAUAUGUAAACUAUGGUUAAAAUGCACUUUAAAGAUAUGAAGCCUUUGGUACUUUAACAAUAAAAUUCCCUCAGGAAAAUAAAAUGCUGUUUUCUUCACAGUACAAAACAUCAGAUAAUUGAAAUGCAAUAAAUAGUUUGUAGACUGAUUUAGAGAAGACUUUUAUAUAUUUUGACUAAAGUUUGUGAGAUGCAGGCCACAAAUUGUUCUAUUAUAUUCUUCUUUUUGUAGAAAUAUUUUCUAAUUCAGGGUUUACUUUGUGUAGGAUUUUCAUAAGGGAAAAGGAAUAAAAUAAAUAAAUUUCAAUAAGCAUGUUUGAAUUUCACAAAUAUACUAUAUAAUGAAGAUCUAAUAAUUAGAAUACAAAUUUGUUUUU